rnacentral:misc_RNA from 1 species
AUCCAGGCGCAAGCCCCCUCUCGGGGAGGUGAGCGCCGCCUUCUUAUCAACCCUUUGCCUAUGUGUACCCCUAUCGCUUCCUCGGCAGGCUCGCCUGCCGCUAGGAACCAACCAAACCCCUUGCAUUAUACAUGAAAACUUCCGAUACAAACCUAAAUUAUUA